AUUGAACGCUAGCGGCAUGCUUUACACAUGCAAGUCGAACGGAGCGGCGGACGGGCUAGUAAUAUAUCGGAACGUGCCUAGUAGCUGGGGUUAACUACCCGAAACUGUGGCUAAUACCGAACUCCUUUGGCUCGGUCGAUUUCGGUUUAGCUAGUUGGUGGGGUAAAGGCUCACCAAGGCCACGAUCCGUAGCUGGUUUGAGAGGACGACCAGCCACACUGGGACUGAGACACGGCCCAGACUCCUACGGGAGGCAGCAGUGGGGAAUAUUGGACAAUGGGGGAAACCCUGAUCCAGCCAUCCCGCGUGUAUGAUGAAGGCCUUCGGGUUGUAAAGUACUUUUGGCAGGGAAGCGGUAUCUGCAGAAUAAGCACCGGCUAACUACGUGCCAGCAGCCGCGGUAAUUC
rnacentral:rRNA from 1 species